AAUAGAUACCCCGGUAGUCCACGCCGUAAACGAUGAGUGCUAAGUGUUAGAGGGUUUCCGCCCUUUAGUGCUGCAGCAAACGCAUUAAGCACUCCGCCUGGGGAGUACGGCCGCAAGGCUGAAACUCAAAGGAAUUGACGGGGGCCCGCACAAGCGGUGGAGCAUGUGGUUUAAUUCGAAGCAACGCGAAGAACCUUACCAGGUCUUGACAUCCUCUGACAAUCCUAGAGAUAGGACGUUCCCCUUCGGGGGACAGAGUGACAGGUGGUGCAUGGUUGUCGUCAGCUCGUGUCGUGAGAUGUUGGGUUAAGUCCCGCAACGAGCGCAACCCUUGAUCUUAGUUGCCAGCAUUCAGUUGGGCACUCUAAGGUGACUGCCGGUGACAAACCGGAGGAAGGUGGGGAUGACGUCGAAUCAUCAUGCCCCUUAUGACCUGGGCUACACACGUGCUACAAUGGAUGGUACAAAGGGCUGCAAGACCGCGAGGUUUAGCCAAUCCCAUAAAAGCCAUUCUCAGUUCGGAUUGC
rnacentral:rRNA from 1 species